GUGAGGGACUGUUGGGGUUUUUUCUUUUUUCUUUUUGUCAGGCGCGAUGAGCUGUCGGAUUUCCCCCCCCUUCCAGGCUCAAGGUUCAACACAUUCCAGGCUGCACUGUUGAACUGGAGGCAUAUGAUGGAUAGAGGCCCAGACAGGGAAUGCACCGCGCCUGUGGAUUUCCCAAAGAGUACAACCAGCCCUGCUGAGGUCACUCCUCCACCUUCUCCUCCAUCCAUGCCUGCUGAACCACAGUCAGCAGACAUUCCCCCUCCACCAGCUCUUCCAUCCAUCCCUGCUGAAGCUGCAGCCCAGCGACGGCUGGCUAGACUAGCCGUUUUUUGAAAUACUAAAUUUGUUGUUGCAUCGCAAUUCGUCUGUAACAGUCCUUUCCAGUUCUUGUGAGCGGCAAAAGUAAAUUAACACAUAAAUUAAAAUCUGGUUUCUUAGUUUG